UACGGGGGGGGCAAGCGUUGUUCGGAAUUACUGGGCGUAAAGGGCGCGUAGGCGGCACAACAAGUCGGGAGUGAAAGCCCGGGGCUCAACCCCGGAAUGUCUUUCGAAACUGUUGAGCUAGAGUGCAGAAGAGGCAACUGGAAUUCCCAGUGUAGCGGUGAAAUGCGUAGAUAUUGGGAAGAACACCAGAGGCGAAGGCGGGUUGCUGGGCUGACACUGACGCUGAGGCGCGAAAGCCAGGGGAGCGAACGGG
rnacentral:rRNA from 1 species